UGGGGAAUAUUGGACAAUGGGCGCAAGCCUGAUCCAGCAAUGCCGCGUGUGUGAAGAAGGCCCUCGGGUUGUAAAGCACUUUUAUCAGGAACGAAAUACCACGGGUUAAUACCCUAUGGGGCUGACGGUACCUGAGGAAUAAGCACCGGCUAACUUCGUGCCAGCAGCCGCGGUAAUACGAAGGGUGCAAGCGUUAAUCGGAAUUACUGGGCGUAAAGGGUGCGUAGGCGGUUCGUUAAGUCUGUCGUGAAAUCCCCGGGCUCAACCUGGGAAUGGCGAUGGAUACUGGCGAGCUAGAGUGUGUCAGAGGAUGGUGGAAUUCCCGGUGUAGCGGUGAAAUGCGUAGAGAUCGGGAGGAACAUCAGUGGCGAAGGCGGCCAUCUGGGACAACACUGACGCUGAAGCACGAAAGCGUGGGGAGCAAACA
rnacentral:rRNA from 1 species